GCGGAAGUAGUUCAGUGGUAGAACAUCACCUUGCCAAGGUGGGGGUCGCGGGUUCGAACCCCGUCUUCCGCUCCA
rnacentral:tRNA from 173 species